rnacentral:rRNA from 1 species
CUGAUGGCGACCGGCGCACGGGUGAGUAACACGUAUCCAACCUGCCUCAUACUCGGGGAUAGCCUUUCGAAAGAAAGAUUAAUAUCCGAUAGCAUAUAUUUCCCGCAUGGGUUUUAUAUUAAAGAAAUUCGGUAUGAGAUGGGGAUGCGUUCCAUUAGUUUGUUGGGGGGUAACGGCCCACCAAGACUACGAUGGAUAGGGGUUCUGAGAGGAAGGUCCCCCACAUUGGAACUGAGACACGGUCCAA